rnacentral:rRNA from 1 species
CAGCAGCCGCGGUAAUACGUAGGUGGCAAGCGUUGCCCGGAAUUAUUGGGCGUAAAGGGCUCGCAGGCGGUUUCUUAAGUCUGAUGUGAAAGCCCCCGGCUCAACCGGGGAGGGUCAUUGGAAACUGGGAAACUUGAGUGCAGAAGAGGAGAGUGGAAUUCCACGUGUAGCGGUGAAAUGCGUAGAGAUGUGGAGGAACACCAGUGGCGAAGGCGACUCUCUGGUCUGUAACUGACGCUGAGGAGCGAAAACGUGGGGAGCGAACAGGAUUAGAUACCCCUGUAGUCCCUGUCUCUUAUAC